UACGAAGGGGGCUAGCGUUGCUCGGAAUCACUGGGCGUAAAGCGCACGUAGGCGGAUUGUUAAGUCAGGGGGUGAAAUCCUGGAGCUCAACUCCAGAACUGCCUUUGAUACUGACGGUCUUGAGUUCGGGAGAGGUGAGUGGAACUGCGAGUGUAGAGGUGAAAUUCGUAGAUAUUCGCAAAGAACACCAGUGGCGAAGGCGGCUCACUGGCCCGAUACUGACGCUGAGGUGCGAAAGCGUGGGGAGCAAACAGG
rnacentral:rRNA from 1 species